rnacentral:sRNA from 13 species
AAGUUACGCGCCUUUGAAGUUGGAGGUGGGAGAGUGAGAGACGGCUGAGAAAACGACUGUCUGCUUCUCUGCUGUCUUUCACCUCCAACUUCCAAGGUGCGUAACUC